AUUUUAAGUUUAGCGUUUUGAGAAAAAAAAAACCAAGAGCAAGUGAGAGAAUUAUUAGAAAAAUAGUGAAUAAUUGGUUUCUGUAUUUUGAUGUUCGGGAGACUUGUCAAGGUAGAGGAUGACUGCACGUUGACUUUGAGGGACGAUAUUGCCACUACCGUUUACCAAAUGUUUGCAAGCAUUUAGCAUAGUCUCCAAAAAUAUAACAUAUUCAAUGUAAUUUUCAAUAUUCGUUUGCCAGAAUGGUAAUGUGGGGUAUAUUUUUAUUGUAUCCUUUGCCAAAUUGAUGUAUGUAGCAGCUUACAUAUAUCUUUAAUCGAAACCUCAGUAAUAUAAACAACUUUCAAUCGGUUUUUAUCCA